rnacentral:rRNA from 1 species
UACAGAGGGUGCGAGCGUUAAUCGGAAUUACUGGGCGUAAAGCGCGCGUAGGCGGUUUGUUAAGUCGGAUGUGAAAUCCCCAAGCUCAACCUGGGAAUUACAUUCAAUACUGGCAAGCUAAAAUAUAAAAGAGGAUGGUAGAAUUCCAGGUGUAGCAAUGAAAUGCGUAGAGAUCUGAAGGAAUACCGAUGGCGAAGGCAGCCAUCUGGCCUAAUACUGACGCUGAGGUGCGAAAGCAUGGGGAGCAAACAGG